rnacentral:rRNA from 1 species
UACGGAGGGUGCAAGCGUUAUCCGGAUUCACUGGGUUUAAAGGGUGCGUAGGAGGACAGGUAAGUCAGUGGUGAAAUCUCCGGGCUUAACUCGGAAACUGCCGUUGAUACUAUCUGUCUUGAAUACCGUGGAGAUGAGCGGAAUAUGUCAUGUAGCGGUGAAAUGCUUAGAUAUGACAUAGAACACCAAUUGCGAAGGCAGCUCGUUACACGAAUAUUGACUCUGAGGCACGAAAGCGUGGGGAUCAAACAGG